UUUUUUUUAGUUCUGCUUUUGUCAUUGUUUUAUUUGUUUACCUACUGUUGAAAAAUGGUUUUAAUAUGGAUUGCGUGUACAUAGCUAUCAGCAAGAUGUAUUAAUUCAAAAAAGUAAAUGAUGUGAAAGAAGAGGAGUUAAUUGAAGAAAUCCAUCAUCUAGAUGUUUAAAUACUUUCUUCUAUCAAGUUGCUCAACAGAAUCUACCAGAAUGGUCUACGGUCAAAAUUUUCUUCGAUCUGCAUUUUACUUCGCAUUUUAAAUACAAUCGCGGUUUUAGUGACUGAAGGAUAGCGCUCUUUCCGUAAGCUUGUUCUCAUCAAAUCCAAAUUGUGAUCAAAAAUGACUGAGGGACGCCUUACUAAACUUAUGGUGAUUUCAAUUGAAAACGGAAUUGUUGAGAUUUUAUCGUGCAAAAAUGUCAUCUCUAGAUUCGCAAAGAAGAAAGCCUGCAAAGUGAAGUUAGCCUGAUCUGUCUUUAUUACUUCAUAAUUAACAUUUAUUUGAUGAAAUAUAUAAUUCUAUUCAUUUUAAA